CCUGGAUCGAGGAAACCCACCUGCAAAGACCAAGAUGCAAAGAGCUUGGCCCCAUGUGAGGUAUUGGGGUGCAGAGUUAAAUAAGACACAGGCCAGCCCACACGGAGCCUGCAGUCUGAGUGGAGGAGACCCCCAUGGACCUGAGUGCACCCCAGGAAUGGUUUCUGGCACCUCGUGCAAGAAGCUCCCGUUGACGAUCUCACUGCCCAGUUACUCUGAGAUCAUCCCGAAUCCCGAUGUCCAGCCAUCUUCUUCUGGCACAUUUUCACACACCUUUUGUUAACAGACUCCAGGAUUAAUACUGCGGUUUGCUGUGAUAUUCAAAUGUGGUCAUCUGUAAAAAAUGCGUAAUCCCCCAUGCCUCCAUGGAUGUUAGUUCUUGUCCUUUCCC